GACGUAGGGCGCGAGCGUUGUCCGGAUUUAUUGGGCGUAAAGAGCUCGUAGGCGGCUUGUCGCGUCGACUGUGAAAACCCGCGGCUCAACUGCGGGCCUGCAGUCGAUACGGGCAGGCUAGAGUUCGGUAGGGGAGACUGGAAUUCCUGGUGUAGCGGUGAAAUGCGUAGAUAUCUGGAGGAACACCGGUGGCGAAGGCGGCAUCCUGGACCGGCAUUGACGCUGAGGAGCGAAAGCCAGGGAGCAACGG
rnacentral:rRNA from 1 species